GGACUGGGGUUCAGACUUUCCGUAGGGAUCAUGAUCGCUUCUGGGUCCUGGCUGCCCAUCCCAACCUUAACCUCUUUGCAGCAGGCCAUGAUGGUGGGAUGAUUGUAUUUAAGCUGGAACGGGAGCGUCCAGCCUAUGCUGUUCAUGGCAAUAUGCUGCAUUAUGUGAAGGACCGAUUCCUCCGUCAGCUGGAUUUCAACAGCUCCAAAGAUGUAGCUGUGAUGCAGUUGCGGAGGUGAGUCUGACCUUCUC
rnacentral:lncRNA from 1 species